ACCCCAGUUGCCGAGAAAAACCUCGUUCAGCAUAACUAUUAUCAACCGUACCGCAAACCGACACAGGUAUCCGGGAAGAGAAUUCUAAGGUGCUCGAGUGAAUCAUGGCUAAGGAACUCGGCAAAAUGGCCCUGUAACUUCGGGAGAAGGGGCGCUGGUAGCAAUAUCAGCCGCAGUGAAAAGGCCCAGGCGACUGUUUAACAAAAACACAUGGCUUUGCAAAAUCG
rnacentral:rRNA from 1 species